rnacentral:rRNA from 1 species
UGCGUAGGCGGCUAGAUAAGUCAGAGGUGAAAUGCUACGGCUUAACUGUGGAAUUGCCUUUGAAACUAUAUAGCUAGAAUAGAGUUGAGGUUGGCGGAAUGUGACAUGUAGCGGUGAAAUGCAUAGAUAUGUCAUAGAACAUCGAUUGCGAAGGCAGCUAACUGGGCUUUUAUUGAGCUGAGGCACGAGAGCGUGGGGAUCAAACA